UACUGGGAAACUAUGACUCUGCAAUGGUC
rnacentral:piRNA from 1 species